AAGAAAGGGAACUGGUGACAUCUAUUGGCUAAACAUUGUACGAGCGUUUCUCCUGGACGUAGUUCGCUGGUUGUCACCUUUCUUUGUCCGUUGGUUUGUUUGGUUGUUUUUCGACUUUUAGAGCAAACAGUUGAACAAAAUGAGGAAAAAAGGGAAAAAGCCACCCAAAGUUAACGACAAAACAGCCGCAGAGACUAUGCUUGAGGAGAAAAUUGAAUUUAUGGUAUAAUAUGACAUGGUAAGGCGAAAUAUAUAUUCAAUUCUGGUCACUAGAGUUACUGAUAAAUCUUUUAUUUAUCCAUUCUUCACGCACAUUAUUAGUGUAUGUUCGCCGUUGGUUAAUCAGAUGUAAUGCAAUUCUUAGCCAAUCAGAAGUCGCAUAUCCCUCUCAUCACCUAAGCUACAAUAUUAGUAUUUCAUGGCUCAUUUUCCCUGAAAACUUGACUUAUUAGCACUCUAGGUGAGCAUACUGCUCUUGGACAGCUGAUAUCCUUUUUCAUUAUCUUAUUGGCAGACCACUGAACAUUCCAACGCGUUCCUUUACUUAGGCAACUUAAAACAUAGGACGUUGCAAUGUAUAAGAUCGCAGUGCGCUGCAUGAGCUCUUCCGUCGUAAUAAUUCUAAAUAAUUCGAUAUAAUCGAAAACGUGGGAACAAUUCAUUCAUAGCAAAAGGUUAGAGAUGGUUUUUUUUUAUUCACAGAUGGAAAUUUCUCAGAAUAUUAGCUAAAAUUUUGGGGUGUUACGUAAGUAAAUGAAAAUUGAUGGUUAACUUCUGAGGACAGAAGUAAUAGAUUGUUCAAGAUAAUAAAAGCUUGCUGAAUGUACAGAUAUCAUUAUUUCUUUUAAUCAAUUCUGUCUUGUUAAGUAGAGACAACCUCAAUUUCACAGCUGAUGGACAUGGCGGAGCCUAGGUUUCUCUUGUAGUGUCAUGGCAGUUCGCUUUUGGGAGCUGAGUAAUUAGCGAAAAUGUUUACAUCGCCGUUGGUGGUGUGCGUAUGCUCAGCACCAAUUGCAAUAUACAGUUACAACCAUGAAUUUUUUUAAAAUACUGCUUCUCCCGCACAAGUUCUGUUGGGAUAAAGUUGUCAUAUUGCUGCCAGAUUCAACCUUUCUCGAGCCAAAAGAUUUGAUCACGGACUUAGGAACAAUGAACCAGAUACCUUCCUUACGCAGGAGGUCAUUCCCCACUGAGUCCAGAAUUUUAACGGCUCAAGAACUGCUCAUGGAGUACAGCUUAGUCGUUAUUUUACUUGGAUGUUUUAUCAUGGUUUCAUCGUCAUCAAAAAUGGUUCGCCAACUUGAAGAAACCGGAGGUGGAUUCCUUUGGUUAUAAACAGUGCUUUUGAUUGCUUCAAUUUUGGUCGAUUGUAUGAUUGGAACUUGUAAAUAAUUUGACUCACCUGAGAUCAGCGUCUAGAAGUCGUACAAUUCAGUGAGGGAACAUUUUUAUAUGCUGUAAAGAGGACAUUUUGAAGGAAUUCCACUGCGUGAGUGUCAGGUCCUGUAAAUGCGAGUGGAAAGCGAAAGAAAUAUAGAGCACAUUGACUGGGGUAAUUUGAA
rnacentral:lncRNA from 1 species